rnacentral:rRNA from 1 species
GCUGGCGGCGUGCUACCAUGCAGUCGAACGAAGCACUGCACUUCACAAAGCAGUUUGGCUGUUCCAAUUUGUGCCUAUAUAUACAUAGUUGCAUUUUGUCGAACGCAAACUCUUUUGUGAAGUGCUUUGACUGAGUGGCGGACGGGUGAGUAACGCGUGAAGAACCUACCUCUUUGUGGGGGACAACCAGCGGAAACGCUGGCUAAUACCGCAUAAGAUGAUAAUAUGGCAUCAUAUAGUCAUUAAAGAUUUAUCGCAGAGAGAUGGCUUCGCGUCUGAUUAGCUAGUUGGUAAGGUAAUGGCUCUACCAAGGCGACAAUCAGUAGCCGGACUGAGAGGUUCAACGGCCACAUUGGGACUGAGACACGGCCCAGACUCCUACGGGAGGCAGCAGUGGGGAAUAUUGCGCAAUGGAGGAAACUCUGACGCAGCAACGCCGCGUGAAGGAUGAAGUAUUUCGGUAUGUAAACUUCUUUAAGCAGGGAAGAAUUCGUGACGGUACCUGCAGAAUAAGCUCCGGCUAACUCCGUGCCAGCAGCCGCGGUAAUACGGGGGGAGCAAGCGUUGUCCGGAUUUACUGGGUGUAAAGGGUGUCUAGGCGGAUAUGUAAGUCUGAUGUGAAAUCCCGCAGCUUAACUGCGGACGUGCAUUGGAAACUAUAUAUCUUGAAUGGAUGAGAGGCAAGUGGAAUUCCUAGUGUAGCGGUGAAAUGCGUAGAUAUUAGGAGGAACACCAGUGGCGAAGGCGGCUUGCUGGCAUCUUAUUGACGCUGAAGCACGAAAGCGUGGGGAGCAAACAGGAUUAGAUACCCUGGUAGUCCACGCCGUAAACGAUGAUUACUAGGUGUUGGGGGUAUAAAUUCCCUCAGUGCCGCAGUUAACACAAUAAGUAAUCCACCUGGGGAGUACGACCGCAAGGUUGAAACUCAAAGAAAUUGACGGGGGCCCGCACAAGCAGUGGAGUAUGUGGUUUAAUUCGAAGAUACGCGAAAAACCUUACCAGAACUUGACAUCUAGGGAAGUUUGCCGAAGGGCAGAUGUGCCGUUUACGGAACCCUAAGACAGGUGGUGCAUGGUUGUCGUCAGCUCGUGUCGUGAGAUGUUGGGUUAAGUCCCGCAACGAGCGCAACCCUUAUUGCUAGUUGCCAUCAUUUAGUUGGGCACUCUAGCGAGACUGCCGUUGACAAAACGGAGGAAGGUGGGGAUGAUGUCAAAUCAUCAUGCCCCUUAUGUUCUGGGCUACACACGUACUACAAUGGGAUGCACAACGGGAAGCCAAGCCGCGAGGUGGAGCAAAUCCCUAAAAACAUUCCUCAGUUCGGAUAGGAGGCUGAAACUCGCCUCCUUGAAGCUGGAAUUGCUAGUAAUCGCGAAUCAGCAUGUCGCGGUGAAUACGUUCCCGGGCCUUGUACACACCGCCCGUCACACCAUGAGAGUCGGCAAUACCCGAAGUCCGUAGGAUAACCUUUUAGGAGUCCGCGGCCUAAGGUA